CAAAUACUCCCUCCAUCCGGAAAUACUUGUCAUCAAAAUGGAUAAAAGGAGAUGUAUCUAGAUGUAUUUUAGUUCUAGAUACACCCCUUUUUAUCCAUUUUGAUGACAAGUAUUUUCAGACGAGGGAUCCCAAA
rfam:Triticum aestivum genome assembly, contig: Triticum_aestivum_CS42_TGACv1_scaffold_194275_3AL